rnacentral:pre_miRNA from 1 species
UUUUUAGCAUAAGCAUAUCCCAUGUAAUGUUUGGGAUAUGCUUAUGCUAAAA